UUUCCGUAGGUGAACCUGCGGAAGGAUCAUUAAAAAUAUCACUCGAUUGAGAGUGAUUUAAUAAUCAUCCUACCCUUUGUGAAUUUGUUUGUAAUGUUAAAUUUAUGUUGUCUAUCCCUUGGAAAGUUUGUUCAUUUAAUAAACCCCAAGGGAAUAGGCUUUCAUAGACCUUUUUUUUAAAAUUAAACAUUUUGUAUUCAUUUGUCUAAAAUUUAUUUUUAAAAUAAUUUAAAAACAACUUUUGACAAUGGAUCUCUUGGUUCUCGCAACGAUGAAGAACGCAGCAAAAUGCGAUAAGUAAUGUGAAUUGCAGAAUACGUGAAUCAUCAAAUCUUCGAACGCAUAUUGCACUUUUUUAGUUUACUAAAAAAGUAUGUCUGUUUGAGUAUCAGUAAAUAUUCUCAUAAAAAAAUUUUUUUUUAUGGUCAUGAGUGUUUACAACGAUAAACAAGUUGUUUCACUUUAAAUUGAUUUUUAAAAGCCAAUUUUUUUGGUUUUUAUCUAAUAAAAUUGGAUAAAAUUUUCCCGUAAGAAGGAAUAAACUUUUCAGUUUUAAAGGGUAAAAAUUAAAAUAUUUAUUGUUGCUUAAUUUAAAAGGAAAAUUUAAUUUAAAAAUAACUUGAUCUCAAAUCAGAUAAGAGUACCCGCUGAACUUAAGCAUAUCAAUAAGCGGAGGAAAAGAAACUAACAAGGAUUCCCUUAGUAACGGCGAGUGAAGCGGGAAGAGCUCAAAUUUGAAAUCUUCAAGGUUCUACCUUGACGAAUUGUAGUUUAAAGAAGUGUUUUCUGUUAGAGGAGUAGCAAAAGUUCCUUGGAAUGGGACAUCAUAGAGGGUGAGAAUCCCGUAUUUGGUUAUUCUUUCUAGCUUUGUGAUACACUUUCAAAGAGUCGGAUUGUUUGGGAAUGCAGUCCAAAAUGGGUGGUAAAUUUCAUCUAAAGCUAAAUAUUGGCGAGAGACCGAUAGCGAACAAGUACCGUGAGGGAAAGAUGAAAAGAACUUUGAAAAGAGAGUUAAACAGUACGUGAAAUUGUCAAAAGGGAAGCGUUUGACACCAGUGUUGUUUUUCCGAAAAUCAAUUAAGAAGGGCUUGAUUUUGUGUUGUAUGACCUUAUCAGCUUCUUCACUCUUUUUCGAGUCUUUCUUAAUGCACUUUUCGGUUAACAAGUCAACAUCAAUUUCUUUUGUUGUAAAAGGGUAUUUGGAAGGUGGCUUUCUUUUCGGAGAAAGUGUUUAUAGCCUUAUACCUCUACAAUCGGAGAGAUUGAGGUCUGCAGCGUAGAUCCUUCGGGCUAGAUACACUUGUGCUAAGUUAUAGCUUUCAUAGACAACUUGUUGACUAUGUUUAGUCAUGUAGCUUACCCGCUUGUGCUAUUU
rnacentral:misc_RNA from 1 species